ACACUCUGCUAGCUUUUCAUAAGGUUUACUUAGCUAUCGCUCCAGCAAGCAGUCAACUAACUUGGGCACUUUGAUGGAAACCGCGAGCCAUGACCAGGCCAAGUACGUAGUCGGGGCAGGAACAGUCGACAGUGGCAGCUUUGCACUUAAAUGUAUCCUCAGCAGGAAGAGCAGGAGGAAGCUCACGCAGUAACAAAGGCAAUUUCCAAGCCAAGACCAUAAACAUUUUUGGCUGACCGCAAAUGCAACGCCCCCAAAAACAGGAGCAGAAGCCAGAGUGGGAACACGAGCUAAAGGAGAAGCUAUAAUGUUGGAAGUUUUCGCCACGUGCAGUACAUAAAGUUAGUUUAGUGUUGGCUUCCCUUUCCAGGAUAAGCCAACAAAAAUUUACAGCUUCCGUGAAAAUUUUUUGCAAAUUUUGUCCACAAUUUCAAAUGGCAUCUGUCAUAAGCCCAAAUUUAUGGGGAAAUUAUUGUAAAUUUCUUUUGAAUAUACUCGCCACAUAGUUUUUGUAA